CCUACGGGAGGCAGCAGUGAGGAAUAUUGGUCAAUGGGCGCUAGCCUGAACCAGCCAAGUAGCGUGAAGGAUGACUGCCCUAUGGGUUGUAAACUUCUUUUAUAUGGGAAUAAAGUGCAGUGUGUAUACUGCUUUGAAUGUACCUUAUGAAUAAGGCUCGGCUAACUCCGUGCCAGCAGCCGCGGUAAUACUGAGGAUCCGAGCGUUAUCCGGAGUGAGUGGGUUUAAAGGGAGCGUAGGCGGGUUGUUAAGUCAGUUGUGCAAGUUUGCGGCUCAACAGUAAAAUUACAGUUGAUACUGGUAUCCUGGAGUACAGUAGAGGUAGGCGGAAUUCGUGGUGUAGCGGUGAAAUGCGUAGAUAUCACGAAGAACUCCGAUGGCGAAGGCAGCUUGCUGGACUGUAACUGACGCUGAGGCUCGAAAGUGUGGGUAUCAAACAGGAUUAGAUACCCGUGUAGUC
rnacentral:rRNA from 1 species